rnacentral:rRNA from 1 species
AAUGAACGCUGGCGGCGUGCUUAACACAUGCAAGUCGAGCGCGAACGUGGCUUCGGCCACUAGUAGAGCGGCGAACGGGUGAGUAACACGUGGACAACCUGCCUGGGUAUGGGGGACAACUUCGGGAAACUGAAGCUAAUACCGCAUACGCUCAGCAAUGAGGAAAGGUCGCCUCUCCUUGGAAGCGAUCGUACCCAGAGGGGUCCGCGGCUGAUUAGCUAGUUGGUGGGGUAACGGCCCACCAAGGCGACGAUCAGUAGCCGGCCUGAGAGGGUGAUCGGCCACACUGGAACUGAGACACGGUCCAGACUCCUACGGGAGGCAGCAGUGGGGAAUAUUGGACAAUGGGCGAAAGCCUGAUCCAGCAACGCCGCGUGGAGGAUGAAUGCCUUCGGGUUGUAAACUCCUGUCAGGUGGAACGAAAAGCGCCGGUUAAUAUCCGGUGUCUAUGACGGUACCACCAGAGGAAGCCCCGGCUAACUCCG